rnacentral:ncRNA from 1 species
CGAGUUUUCCCGGCUCUGUUAUAAGGAGAAAUGAGAGUAGGAUGAGUGGGAGACGGUAACGUUACUGUUCCCGGUGAAAAGCCACUGCCUUCAUAAUUCCUUUAUUUGGUGAGGCGCAACUCGUACGCCGUUCGCUUAGGCGGCAGCUGUCACGGUGUUCUUAAGCCGAGCGUUAAGAGUGGCGUGAGGCAGCCCACUCGCGGCCUUCGUAUCGUGUCAUCGUUGGGCCCGUCGGGCGCGAUCGAUCGCCGACACAUCUUCCCCCAUGAGCCCAUGAUCCGAUCCGAGUACACUGUCAGACAAGGAGUUCGACAGGGGCGGUACAUCUGUCAAAAAAUUACGCAGGUGUCCUAAGGUCAGCUCAGCGAAGACAGAAACCUCGCGUAGAGUAAAAGGGCAAAAGCCGUUAAAAACACAGAUAGCACAGCAUAUCGAUCCUUUGGCUUGAAGAGUUUUCAACAAAAGGUGUUAGAAAAGUUGCACCCGGAUAACUGGCUUGUGGCGGUCAAGCGUUCAUAGCGACGUCAUUUUUUGAUUCUUCGAUGUCGGCUCUUCCUAUCAUUGCGAAACAGAAUUUGUCAAGCAUCAGAUUGUUCACCUACCAAUGUACUAGGGUCAAUUGAAAAGU